rnacentral:rRNA from 1 species
AAGCGACUAAGCGUACACGGUGGAUGCCCUGGCAGUCAGAGGCGAUGAAGGACGUGCUAAUCUGCGAUAAGCGUCGGUAAGGUGAUAUGAACCGUUAUAACCGGCGAUUUCCGAAUGGGGAAACCCAGUGUGUUUCGACACACUAUCAUUAACUGAAUCCAUAGGUUAAUGAGGCGAACCGGGGGAACUGAAACAUCUAAGUACCCCGAGGAAAAGAAAUCAACCGAGAUUCCCCCAGUAGCGGCGAGCGAACGGGGAGCAGCCCAGAGCCUGAAUCAGUGUGUGUGUUAGUGGAAGCGUCUGGAAAGGCGCGCGAUACAGGGUGACAGCCCCGUACACAAAAAUGCACAUGCUGUGAGCUCGAUGAGUAGGGCGGGACACGUGGUAUCCUGUCUGAAUAUGGGGGGACCAUCCUCCAAGGCUAAAUACUCCUGACUGACCGAUAGUGAACCAGUACCGUGAGGGAAAGGCGAAAAGAACCCCGGCGAGGGGAGUGAAAAAGAACCUGAAACCGUGUACGUACAAGCAGUGGGAGCACGCUUAGGCGUGUGAUUGCGUACCUUUUGUAUAAUGGGUCAGCGACUUAUAUUCUGUAGCAAGGUUAACCGAAUAGGGGAGCCGAAGGGAAACCGAGUCUUAACUGGGCGUUAAGUUGCAGGGUAUAGACCCGAAACCCGGUGAUCUAGCCAUGGGCAGGUUGAAGGUUGGGUAACACUAACUGGAGGACCGAACCGACUAAUGUUGAAAAAUUAGCGGAUGACUUGUGGCUGGGGGUGAAAGGCCAAUCAAACCGGGAGAUAGCUGGUUCUCCCCGAAAGCUAUUUAGGUAGCGCCUCGUGAAUUCAUCUCCGGGGGUAGAGCACUGUUUCGGCAAGGGGGUCAUCCCGACUUACCAACCCGAUGCAAACUGCGAAUACCGGAGAAUGUUAUCACGGGAGACACACGGCGGGUGCUAACGUCCGUCGUGAAGAGGGAAACAACCCAGACCGCCAGCUAAGGUCCCAAAGUCAUGGUUAAGUGGGAAACGAUGUGGGAAGGCCCAGACAGCCAGGAUGUUGGCUUAGAAGCAGCCAUCAUUUAAAGAAAGCGUAAUAGCUCACUGGUCGAGUCGGCCUGCGCGGAAGAUGUAACGGGGCUAAACCAUGCACCGAAGCUGCGGCAGCGACGCUGAUGCGUUGUUGGGUAGGGGAGCGUUCUGUAAGCCUGCGAAGGUGUGCUGUGAGGCAUGCUGGAGGUAUCAGAAGUGCGAAUGCUGACAUAAGUAACGAUAAAGCGGGUGAAAAGCCCGCUCGCCGGAAGACCAAGGGUUCCUGUCCAACGUUAAUCGGGGCAGGGUGAGUCGACCCCUAAGGCGAGGCCGAAAGGCGUAGUCGAUGGGAAACAGGUUAAUAUUCCUGUACUUGGUGUUACUGCGAAGGGGGGACGGAGAAGGCUAUGUUGGCCGGGCGACGGUUGUCCCGGUUUAAGCGUGUAGGCUGGUUUUCCAGGCAAAUCCGGAAAAUCAAGGCUGAGGCGUGAUGACGAGGCACUACGGUGCUGAAGCAACAAAUGCCCUGCUUCCAGGAAAAGCCUCUAAGCAUCAGGUAACAUCAAAUCGUACCCCAAACCGACACAGGUGGUCAGGUAGAGAAUACCAAGGCGCUUGAGAGAACUCGGGUGAAGGAACUAGGCAAAAUGGUGCCGUAACUUCGGGAGAAGGCACGCUGAUAUGUAGGUGAAGUCCCUCGCGGAUGGAGCUGAAAUCAGUCGAAGAUACCAGCUGGCUGCAACUGUUUAUUAAAAACACAGCACUGUGCAAACACGAAAGUGGACGUAUACGGUGUGACGCCUGCCCGGUGCCGGAAGGUUAAUUGAUGGGGUCAGCGCAAGCGAAGCUCUUGAUCGAAGCCCCGGUAAACGGCGGCCGUAACUAUAACGGUCCUAAGGUAGCGAAAUUCCUUGUCGGGUAAGUUCCGACCUGCACGAAUGGCGUAAUGAUGGCCAGGCUGUCUCCACCCGAGACUCAGUGAAAUUGAACUCGCUGUGAAGAUGCAGUGUACCCGCGGCAAGACGGAAAGACCCCGUGAACCUUUACUAUAGCUUGACACUGAACAUUGAGCCUUGAUGUGUAGGAUAGGUGGGAGGCUUAGAAGUGUGGACGCCAGUCUGCAUGGAGCCGACCUUGAAAUACCACCCUUUAAUGUUUGAUGUUCUAACGUUGACCCGUAAUCCGGGUUGCGGACAGUGUCUGGUGGGUAGUUUGACUGGGGCGGUCUCCUCCUAAAGAGUAACGGAGGAGCACGAAGGUUGGCUAAUCCUGGUCGGACAUCAGGAGGUUAGUGCAAUGGCAUAAGCCAGCUUGACUGCGAGCGUGACGGCGCGAGCAGGUGCGAAAGCAGGUCAUAGUGAUCCGGUGGUUCUGAAUGGAAGGGCCAUCGCUCAACGGAUAAAAGGUACUCCGGGGAUAACAGGCUGAUACCGCCCAAGAGUUCAUAUCGACGGCGGUGUUUGGCACCUCGAUGUCGGCUCAUCACAUCCUGGGGCUGAAGUAGGUCCCAAGGGUAUGGCUGUUCGCCAUUUAAAGUGGUACGCGAGCUGGGUUUAGAACGUCGUGAGACAGUUCGGUCCCUAUCUGCCGUGGGCGCUGGAGAACUGAGGGGGGCUGCUCCUAGUACGAGAGGACCGGAGUGGACGCAUCACUGGUGUUCGGGUUGUCAUGCCAAUGGCACUGCCCGGUAGCUAAAUGCGGAAGAGAUAAGUGCUGAAAGCAUCUAAGCACGAAACUUGCCCCGAGAUGAGUUCUCCCUGACCCUUUAAGGGUCCUGAAGGAACGUUGAAGACGACGACGUUGAUAGGCCGGGUGUGUAAGCGCAGCGAUGCGUUGAGCUAACCGGUACUAAUGAACCGUGAGGCUUAACCUU